CCCAUUUAUGGUUCCCCAAAACAGCCCUCUAACCCAUUCAGGUAUAUUCAUAGCAUUUGAUUCCAUCUGUGUAUUUGUUCCUCAUUAUUUUAUAUUAUAAGCGUGUUCAGGUUUGGUUCAUUAAUAAUUUUUUUAAAAGAGAAGAUCAAAAUAUUGGAUUCAGUAUUUGAGUGAUAGGCUCAAAGGCCAGGUGUUUACUUACAGGAUGAGAGACUUCUUU